CAAGGGUUCCUGCUUAAAGUUAAUCUGAGCAGGGUUAGUCGGCCCCUAAGGCGAGGCCGAAAGGCGUAGUCGAUGGGAAGCAGGUUAAUAUUCCUGCACCAGUGGGUAGUGACGGAUGUUGUAAGUUGUAUCUCCUUAUCGGAUUGGAGAUGCAGCGAAGACGUUCCAGGAAAUAGCUCCCACAUCAGACCGUACCCUAAACCGACACAGGUGGACUGGUAGAGAAUACCAAGGCGCUUGAGAGAACGAUGUUGAAGGAACUCGGCAAAAUACCUCCGUAAGUUCGCGAGAAGGAGGCCCGGUACAAGAGUGCCGGGGGCACAAACCAGGGGGUGGCGACUGUUUAUUAAAAACACAGGGCUCUGCGAAGUCGCAAGACGACGU
rnacentral:rRNA from 1 species